rnacentral:rRNA from 1 species
GACGAACGCUGGCGGCGUGCUUAACACAUGCAAGUCGAACGGAAAGGCCCUGCUUUUGUGGGGUGCUCGAGUGGCGAACGGGUGAGUAACACGUGAGUAACCUGCCCUUGACUUUGGGAUAACUUCAGGAAACUGGGGCUAAUACCGGAUAGGAGCUCCUGCUGCAUGGUGGGGGUUGGAAAGUUUCGGCGGUUGGGGAUGGACUCGCGGCUUAUCAGCUUGUUGGUGGGGUAGUGGCUUACCAAGGCUUUGACGGGUAGCCGGCCUGAGAGGGUGACCGGCCACAUUGGGAUUGAACUACGGCCCAGACUCCUACGGGGAGCAGCAGUGGGGAAUAUUGCACCAUGGGCGGAAGCCUGAAGCAGCCACGCCGCGUGCGGGAUGACGGCCUUCGGGUUGUAAACCGCUUUCGCCUGUGACGAAGCGUGAGUGACGGUAAUGGGUAAAGAAGCACCGGCUAACUACGUG